rnacentral:rRNA from 1 species
UACAGAGGUCUCAAGCGUUGUUCGGAUUCAUUGGGCGUAAAGGGUGCGUAGGUGGCGCCGUAAGUCAGGUGUGAAAUUUCGGAGCUCAACUCCGAAAACUGCAUUUGAUACUGCGGUGCUUGAGGACUGGAGAGGAGACUGGAAUUCACGGUGUAGCAGUGAAAUGCGUAGAUAUCGUGAGGAAGACCAGUGGCGAAGGCGGGUCUGCUGGGCAACAACUGACGCUGAGGAGCGAAAGCGUGGGGAGCGAACAGG